ACUGACUUAGUGGCGAACGGGAGUAACGCGUGAGCAACCUGCCUUUCAGUGGGGGACAACAGUUGGAAACGACUGCUAAUACCGCAUAAUGCAUUUUGACCGCAUGAUCGAGAUGCCAAAGAUUUAUUGCUGAAAGAUGGGCUCGCGUCUGAUUAGAUAGUUGGUGAGGUAACGGCCCACCAAGUCGACGAUCAGUAGCCGGACUGAGAGGUUGAACGGCCACAUUGGGACUGAGAUACGGCCCAGACUCC
rnacentral:rRNA from 1 species